rfam:Triticum urartu cultivar G1812 contig524042, whole genome shotgun sequence.
CUUGUACUCCCUCCGUCCGAAAAUACUAUUCAUUGAAAUGGAUGUAUCUAGAUGUAUUUUAGUUCUAGACACAUCCAUUUUGAUGAAAAGUAAUUCCGGACAGAGGGAGUACUUG